CGGACACCGAUGGCAGCUCCUCCAGAGUGCUGAGGAGCCGGGGAUUUAGCUCGGUGGUUCUGCUCCCUGCCUCAAAAGCACAAGAAGACCAUCUUAGAAAAGCAGACAUCGUCGAUAUUUUACUUCAAACAAGGCCUCUAUAAUUAAGAGCGGGGUCUGGCUGUGCAGUUCAGGCUGGCCCUGAACUCACUUCAUACCCCUGUCUGGCCUUGAACUCGAAGUGACCCUCCUGCCUCAGCCUCUGGAGUACUGGGAUGACAGGCUGCCAGUCCACGUCAGGCUCCUCCCAUCUUUCUUGCCAGCGGACCACAAGGCUCAGCCUGGUGCUGAAACGUUUGUGUCCGGCGUCCGCGGAGAAGGGAUCUUCCACAGAGGACACCUGGGGUAAACGGGACACACGGAGUCACCGCUGCACCGCACAUUCUCCUUAAAAGCAGCAACCUCGCCUUCGCUCAAGGCUCUCGGUGUGAUGUGUGUGUCCUUCGUGAGACGCCGUCCACGCCAAGGCCAGGAAGACCAAGCCUCCUGAAGUCGCUGGGCACCCACCUGAGAUGCCCAGCGCUGGCCCACGUCCCCACUGUUUCUGAACCAAGUCAUCCACAACAAAAUGCACCCUCUCCCAGGAACCACAGACACGGAGCUGAAAACAACUCAGCGAGCAAGCCCACAAUGGCAGAGCCAGGGAGAGGCGCUCCCCGGC
rnacentral:lncRNA from 1 species